rnacentral:lncRNA from 1 species
UGACGUCGUCGGCUUAAUCCCGAGUGAUCUACUUUUACAAACCUUACGUAUGGUUAAACCGCGAUUAAAACGCACAUGUGAUUUUUUGUUCGUAUUAUCCUAGGAUGUUUAUUUCCAGAAGAGAUUUUGUGGGAUUAUAUCUUUGGUCGUACCCUUGAAAAAAAAUACAUUCAUUCUUCACGUAAGGACUUGACGCGUGCGAUUCAAAUAAAAAGAUGUCCUACGUCAAUGACCAACAAGGAGAAUCGUCUCUGAAAGUGACGAAAAUACCAGUGGAUCCAUACAGACAAGCAAAGGUUUACGCCAUAAUUGAUCCUCCGCAGUUUACACCUAGCAGUUUCGUCCCUACUCCUCCAUCGCCUCCACCUACAUUUUCAUCGCGUGUAUUUUAUUCCGGUGAGUCUCCGGAGGAAAAAUUACUUCGCAAAUUUCGAAAAAAGGUCCUUGCUUGGUUUGUGAUCGCGGUCAUACUAUUCAUCUUAUUCUGCAGUCUUGUUAACUUUUUUACACGGCGCGCUAAAGAUGAAAAUUAAUCUUAAGGUACAAUGUAUCGGGAUAAGGGUUUUAUUUUAAAUUU